rnacentral:misc_RNA from 1 species
CUUCCGUAAGGGGAACCUGCGGAAGGAUCAUUAGUGAAUAUAGGACGUCCAACUUAACUUGGAGUCCGAACUCUCACUUUCUAACCCUGUGCACUUGUUUGGGAUAGUAACUCUCGCAAGAGAGCGAACUCCUAUUCACUUAUAAACACAAAGUCUAUGAAUGUAUUAAAUUUUAUAACAAAAUAAAACUUUCAACAACGGAUCUCUUGGCUCUCGCAUCGAUGAAGAACGCAGCGAAAUGCGAUAAGUAAUGUGAAUUGCAGAAUUCAGUGAAUCAUCGAAUCUUUGAACGCACCUUGCGCUCCAUGGUAUUCCGUGGAGCAUGCCUGUUUGAGUGUCAUGAAUACUUCAACCCUCCUCUUUCUUAAUGAUUGAAGAGGUGUUUGGUUUCUGAGCGCUGCUGGCCUUUACGGUCUAGCUCGUUCGUAAUGCAUUAGCAUCCGCAAUCGAACUUCGGAUUGACUUGGCGUAAUAGACUAUUCGCUGAGGAAUUCUAGUCUUCGGACUAGAGCCGGGUUGGGUUAAAGGAAGCUUCUAAUCAGAAUGUCUACAUUUUAAGAUUAGAUCUCAAAUCAGGUAGGACUACCCGCUGAACUU